rnacentral:rRNA from 1 species
UCUUUUUGAAUUAAAUAUAAAGUCUAACCUGCCCACUGAAUUUUAAAUGGCCGCAGUACUCUAACUGUGCAAAGGUAGCAUAAUAAUUUGUCUUUUAAUUGAAGGCUGGAAUGAAUGGUUGGACGAGAUAUUAACUGUUUCAUUUAAAAUAUUUUAGAAUUUUAUUUUUUAGUGAAAAAGCUAAAAUUUUUUUAAAAGACGAGAAGACCCUAUAAAGCUUUAUAUUUUUAAAAGAAUAAAAAUAAAGAUUUAGAUUGUUAUUUUUUGAGUAAAUAUUUUAUUGGGGUGAUGUUAAAAUUUAAUAAACUUUUAAUUUUUUUUUUCAAUUAUUUUUGGUUUUUUGAUCCACUUUUUGUGAUUAGAAAUUCAAGUUACUUUAGGGAUAACAGCGUAAUUAUUUUGGAGAGUUCAUAUCGAUAAAAUAGGUUGCGACCUCGAUGUUGGAUUAAGGUAUAUAAUUAGGUGCAGCAGUUUACA